CUGAGAGUGCAGCCUCUGCCCGGCCGCCACCCCGUCUGGGAAGUGAGGAGCGUCUCUGCCUGGCCGCCCAUUGUCUGGGACGUGAGGAGCCCCUCUGCCUGGCUGCCCAGUCUGGAAAGUGAGGAGUGUCUCUGCCCGGCCGCCAUCCCAUCUAGGAAGUGAGGAGCGCCUCUUCCCGGCCGCCAUCCCAUCUAGGAAGUGAGGAGCGUCUCUGC
rnacentral:lncRNA from 1 species